rnacentral:rRNA from 1 species
GUGUCAGCCGCCGCGGUAAAACGUAGGACGCAAGCGUUAUCCGGAGUUACUGGGCGUAAAGCGCGGGCAGGCGGCUCGAAACGUCUGAUGUGAAAGCACCCGGCUCAACCGGGUGAGGCCAUUGGAAACGGUCGAGCUGGAGGGCAGUAGAGGUAGGCGGAAUUCCGGGUGGAGUGGUGAAAUGCGUAGAGAUCCGGAGGAACACCAGAGGCGAAGGCGGCCUACUGGGCUGCACCUGACGCUGAGCCGCGAAAGCCAGGGGAGCGAACGGGAUUAGAAACCCCUGUAGUCC